UUCCACCUCUUCCCAUUCCGAACAGAGAAGUUAAGACCGAUAGCGCCGAUGGUACUGCAUGUGUGGGAGAGUAGGUAGCUGCCUUUU
rnacentral:rRNA from 1 species